GAGGGUGCAGCUCAGGGGUAGAGCGUGUGCUUAGCACGCACGAGGUCCUGGGUUCAGUCCCCUGUACUUCCA
rnacentral:tRNA from 1 species